GGACGGGUGAGUAAUGUCUGGGAAACUGCCUGAUGGAGGGGGAUAACUACUGGAAACGGUAGCUAACACCGCAUAAUGUCGCAAGACCAAAGAGGGGGACCUUCGGGCCUCUUGCCAUCGGAUGUGCCCAGAUGGGAUUAGCUAGUAGGUGGGGUAACGGCUCACCUAGGCGACGAUCCCUAGCUGGUCUGAGAGGAUGACCAGCCACACUGGAACUGAGACACGGUCCAGACUCCUACGGGAGGCAGCAUG
rnacentral:rRNA from 1 species